UGGGGAAUCUUCCGCAAUGGACGAAAGUCUGACGGAGCAACGCCGCGUGAGUGAAGACGGCCUUCGGGUUGUAAAGCUCUGUGAUUCGGGACGAAAGGCCAUAUGUGAAUAAUAUAUGGAAAUGACGGUACCGAAAAAGCAAGCCACGGCUAACUACGUGCCAGCAGCCGCGGUAAUACGUAGGUGGCAAGCGUUGGCCGGAAUUAUUGGGCGUAAAGCGCGCGCAGGCGGUCACUUAAGUCCAUCUUAGAAGUGCGGGGCUUAACCCCGUGAUGUGAUGGAAACUGGGAGACUGGAGUAUCGGAGAGGAAAGUGGAAUUCCUAGUGUAGCGGUGAAAUGCGUAGAUAUUAGGAAGAACACCGGUGGCGAAGGCGACUUUCUGGACGAAAACUGACGCUGAGGCGCGAAAGCGUGGGGAGCAAACAGG
rnacentral:rRNA from 1 species